AGUGAACGCUGGCGGUAGGCCUAACACAUGCAAGUCGAACGGCAGCACAGUAAGAGCUUGCUCUUACGGGUGGCGAGUGGCGGACGGGUGAGGAAUACAUCGGAAUCUACUUUUUCGUGGGGGAUAACGUAGGGAAACUUACGCUAAUACCGCAUACGACCUACGGGUGAAAGCAGGGGAUCUUCGGACCUUGCGCGAUUGAAUGAGCCGAUGUCGGAUUAGCUAGUUGGCGGGGUAAAGGCCCACCACGGCGACGAUCCGUAGCUGGUCUGAGAGGAUGAUCAGCCACACUGGCACUGAGACACGGUCCAGACUCCUACGGGAGGCAGCAGUGGGGAAUAUUGGACAAUGGACGCAAGCCUGAUCCAGCCAUACCGCGUGGGUGAAGAAGGCCUUCGGGUUGUAAAGCCCUUUUGCUGGGAAAGAAAAGCAGCAGGUUAAUACCCCGCUGUUCUGACGGUACCCAAAGAAUAAGCACCGGCUAACUUCGUG
rnacentral:rRNA from 1 species